UGGGUUUGUAUGGAGGAUUUGUUAGAGCAAGUCAGAUGACAAUGAAAGAGAGAUCAGAGUUUAGCUUAUGCAACACCUCAAGGGAAGAGAAUGUUCUUUAGCCUUGUGGUCUGUGUUUUGUAUGUGUCUAUGUGGCUUCCAGAUGGCAGGGAGGAAAACAGACUGUAGCUGCGGUGGAUGGAAUCCCUGAUGAUCUGGAGAGCUUUUUGCCGGCAGCGACGGUUGUUGAGGUCUUCGAUGGCAAGUAGCCGAGUCCAGUGACGCGCUGGGCAGUUUUGACUACCCGCUGAAGGGCUUUCCGGUCUGAGGAUGUGCAGCUGUCAUACCAGACUGUGAUGCAGCAGAGAAAACGCAGGACAGGCCUACCUGAAGAUGGAGUCGAUGUGUCUUGGACGUCAUGUCUCCUGUCAGACGUGUAAGCUGAGAGACAGGAAUGGCAUGGCCGGUGAAGCCCCAGUGAGCAGGAGGGGUCAUCCUUCAGCUCAAAGACAGGCUGAGAGACAGCCACAUGGCACACAUCUCCAAAUGACAGCCUGUCACUGGCAGGAGAUCCACCAUACGGCCCUGUCACCUCUCACCUGACUGAACUCGGCCCACUGUAUUCUCGAGCUAAGGGGAAACUGCGUCACUGUCAAACUAAUGGUGGUUAAAGGUGAAAAAUUUCCAUUUUUGUCAUAAGCCCCAUCUGUACAUUUAUAUUUUAAGAUCAAGACUUAAUUAUCUAUUCAGAGCGGCCUAUGACCGAGCCUCUGCUGUCAUCAGAGAGGAAGUUGGAUUAGUGGAUGUGAACGUGGUGAUUUCUCAGUGAUAACUGCAUAAAUUAAAUGUCUUGUGAGACUGGGGCAUAUUGUUACACUUUUUACUGAAUAUUUAUUUUAUAUCUAUAGAAAUCUUAAAAGUAUUGGUUUCCAAAGGUCUGGUUCACAAUACAUAUUGUUUCAAAGCAGCUUUACAGAAAAUGCAUGUCAACAUUACAAUUUAGAGUAAUCUGUUAUCAGAGGUGAUUCUGUGCAAGUUAUGUCAUUUCAGGAAAUGUACAUAUACAAAUCAUGCAGUUAGCUAACAAUCUAUUAAUUUAAGCAAUGUAUUAAUUAAGACAGAACAAUGAGCUCAUUGAAGUAAUUAAUACAUGUUAACAAAUGAUUAGGAUAUAUAGAAAAAUUUGCAUUGGUGCAUGUUGAUCCAAAGUCGUGUCAUCUCAAGUCCUCACAGGAGUUGGCGCUGUCUCUUCACAGGUGUUUAGGCAUCUGAAGUCUUAAUAAAAGGCUGGAUCCAAACUGGAGCUGACGUAAACCUGAAUAAGUUGGCAAAACAGUAGCCUCAAAAUUUUUAAGUUAAGAAAUUCGAAGUUUAAGUAUGUAGAACUGGCAGAUUUUUAUUUUGUACUCAUACAUUUUAAUUCUUAACUUGAAAUGUUUGAGUACACUAACUCAUACAUUUAACUUAAAAUGAUCAUGUAACCUCAAUAUAAACAUUUUUAUUAGUGUAAACUUAGCUAGCUAUAACAAGCUAAUUCAGAAAAUGCUAAUUUGCUAACAUUUUAACAAUGGCAUGGUAUAGCACUUGCUGAAUGAGUACAUCAAUAUAAAGCAUUCAACAUACUUACUCUUAAACCAAGCCACACACUUGUCACCAUGAUGGUAACUCUCCAAAAACCCACAUUAACAGAAACUCUUCUAAAUUAGCAUAACAAAACAUUCAUCACUACUAAAUCUCAUACUUAACAUUAAUCUUGCACAAACAAAAAUUAUAUAACACUUAAUUUUAGCAUUUACUCUCCCUUUUGAGUACCAUGGGCAAAGCAUGCUGGGAAAUAGAAAUCCCAGCCCAGUUUCAGGUAAACUUAAGUUCAUCUAAAUUAAAAGAAUUAAGUUCAUAAAACUCAAAUCAAUGAAAAAGUUCAGUUUACUUAAAAUAUAUCAGGUCUAUGAACUUGAAAGAAAAAGAAAGUGCUAUAUACUCAUAAAAGUUAAUUUGACUGAACUAAUUUGUUUAAUUUAAGUUUGUCCUACUCAAAACAAUUAAUUAUUAGGAGCAUUAGGGUUUACAGUGUACUUUGGGAUGGGCAUCCCGAGAUAAAACAGAAAAGCAAAUGGAAAAUAAUUAGCGUAGCUUCUGUAAUUAAUUACUGUAAUUUAAUUACUUUUCCCUUGAAAAAGUAAAGUAAGGGAUUACUCUUAAUUUUUCUGUAAUUUAAUUACAGUUACUUCUGAUUAGUAAUUGCAUUAAAUACUGUAUAGACUAGAACAAUUAUAUAAAACAAUAGUGGAUUUAAUAUCAAAAUGUAAUGUCUAAUGUUAAUGUUACUUGUUUUUAAUGUAACCUUCUUUAAAUACUUUAGUCAGUUCAAGAAUAAUUUAUGCAAUUUUAUAUUAUUUCUUUGAAAGAAUUAAAAGAGCAGUUUCAUGUCUAUUUGUUCAACUGGUUGAGUUUGAUAUGGGAUUUAAAAAGUAAUAAGUAAUGCGAAUCAUUUUUAGAGAGAAUAAUUAGAACAGUAACCUAUAAUUACACUAUUGAAGAUGUAAUUAGUAGCUAGUAACUCUUUUAGAGUAUCUUACCCAACACUGGACGUGAAUUGUAUGAGACUGUAAACACUGGAAAAAGUGUGCUAUGGAGGUUGAUCAUGUUAUAUAGAAAGGUAAAAGUUUCCAGACUAACUAUAUUUAUGGACCUUGAUUUAUCCACUUGCACGGUUUAGCUAACCAUGUCGAGAAAUCCAGGCCAAGAAUGGAUUGUGAUUGUCCUGUGCCAUGUGCAAGUGGAAAUACAACUAUUUUUUACUGUGUUCAAAAUAAUUCACCCAUAUGGUGGAAAAGCACUUUAUAGUUCAGACGUGUUGAUGCUUUGCGAUAGUGGAGCAUGUUGCCACACUAUGGGGUAAGUUGUUACUAUGAGAACUGACUAUGCAUGAAAUAUCUGAUUUUUGGGUACAUAAUGAGUUUUCAGCAAAAUAUAAAUUGAUUAUGAAAGACCAAAACAGCAUAAACAUUUGAACACAUGUGACAACUUGCUCCAAUAUAAAUGUACAGUAUAAACGUUGUCCUGAGAACACAGUUCGACCUUACUGCACUACAAUCAUUAUAGAGUUGAAUUGUGCUUUAAUGUAUCCUAGCAUGAUUUUAAUGUGUUUAUUUAACAAGAAUAUGAUGUUUUAGCAUAGAAUUACCAAAAUAUGAUUUAUAAUAUAACAAAUGAAGCCAACAUUUUUGGUUUCAUAUAUUCAUAAUUGAACUUUUGACUCUAGACCUUAUAGUUACUUGUGACAACUAGCCCAAAUGUCUCCUGUUGUCUAGUAGCUACACAAUUGUUCCUAAAAAAGGUUUCAUACUGUUGUAUUGGAGGCAAUACUGAUUUAAUUUUACAGCCUCCUGCAGUUACACUGAAUUAUUGCAGGGUUAAGAAUAACAUCCUGAUUGUGUCAUUGAUCAACACUUCCUAGAGUAUAAGGCUUGUAAUCUCUCUGCCUGAUCAAUACCGAGGCAGAAUGAAUUGCUAAAAGCAGUAUUUGCAGAUACUUUCUCUAGUUUGUUUUAAUCAACAUCAUCACUUUCUCUCCGUUUUUAACAUUUAUAAUACACCCAGGUGCUGCCAUCUCCAACGCAUUCACCUCACCAUAGAUCUCUUCAAAACAGAUUUGUGAGUCUAUCCGAGACAAAUAACCGGAGUUGGAGAAGGUGAGCCAUGCUGUUUUGACACACUGUUAGAACAUGAUGUUACAGAGCCAGACACCUGACUUGGGAAAAAGGUCAUCUGUUCAUCAUAGAUCAAAGUGGAGGACAGCACCUCUCAAAACAGUGGCAGAAAGCGGGCAGGAGGAGAUAAAAUGAAAUCUUCACAACAGGACUGAUGGACAUGUGGCUCAAAUACACCCUCCUGUGAGCUGUAGGGAGGGUGGGUGUCCUGCUGGCAGAUGUCCCUUCUCGUUUCAGAUGCUGCUUGACAAGAUUGCUCUGAGGUGGGGAAGACCAAAGAGGUCUGGGUAAUGAGACAGUUGCCUCCUUAAUGUUUGCCCUGACAUCGUUGCACAAGCACAAAAACAAGAAGACAUAUAGUUACAGCCUUGUGAGAAUUUGAAAGUACUGAACAGAAUGAACUGAGCAAAGUAACAAGACUUAUUUGCAGAAAUCAAACAAUGAGCAAUGAAAUAAGAUUUGCUAAAAUUUCAAUUUCCUAUUCCAUUUCAUUACGAAAACAGUUUCACUUGAUUAAUGUUAGUUUAAAUGAACGCUUCUGUGUGUUUGGACAGACAUGUGCAUAAGCAUUCUUUUCUUUUGUUCGUUUGCAACUGUGGUUUGUUUAGUUUAGUGCUCCUGACCUCAGUCAACAAACCCUCUCCAUCCCAUUCAUUGAGGACCAAUACAAGGAUGUCACUGGCAGACCUUGCCUUGCAUUUGAUUUAUGUUGCUCUAAAAGUAAAAAUCAAAGAUCCUCUCUAAUGCAGCUCUGUGGCAGUGGGAUGAUAUAUGAUGCAGCAGAGCAGUUAAAUGAGAGCACUAUGUCUCUGCCUGUGUUUUAAUGGCACGGUCAGAACUCUGACCCCACAUCUGAAUGACUUUACAGUACUUAAAAAGACAUCCUCAGACAGUGCUGAUUUGUAAAAGAAAGUCCUCAGGGCAAGCUUGUUUUGGCCAUGCAGUUUUGAUUACUCAAGGGACUGUUUCCAGGAAAUACAACAGAGAUGCACAACAAACGUCUUUUAUUGGUUUUCAGUAGAAUUUGACUUUAAUAAGAGGCUUAUAGAAUAGCAAAACAUUGAGACAGAAAUGUUGUACAUUUUUAAUUGUAGCAAGUUAUUUUGUUUCUCAGUGUUUGAUGCAGUAACGAAUCAGAUUUGCUUUUUUAUUCAAAGUGUGAUAAAAACACUAUACGUGUUAGGAUAAUCAUGUAUUACUGAAGUAUGAGUUGUGGUAUUUAUAACUAUACACAAAACUAUGUCAAUCACAAUUUUGGGUAACACUUUAUAACUUUCAAGUCCUUUACAGGUCAGUUCAUGUACAUUAAAUAUGAAUAUCUGAUAAUAUAACCUAAAAAAGUAAGUUUCAUGACACAAAUAUCUGUAUGUAGGGUUAUUUACAUAUCAAAUAAACAUGUUUUUGAUGA